UUUGGAGUCAUCUCCUUUCUACGACUCAUCUCCUUAUUCUCUUCUCCCACUAAGAGUUCUUCCUCUUAAUGGGAGAAGAAAUCACAACCUUUGUUCAAGAGAAUGAGAGAGAGAGAGAGAGAGAGAGAGAGAAGGGAGGAUGGUUGGGAGCAGCUUCAGGAGGCAGAGGGCAACGAUGGGGUCUUGUUGCUCGUCGUUGUGGUCGGAGAAUCGCCUCCCAGGUUUAGUAGUUGUGGAGGCCCCAGAGGAGGUUAAAUGUUUAACCUUCCCAAUUUUUAGAUGAACCGUUGUUUAAGUAAGUCUGCAAAUGAACCAUCACUAGCCUUGCCAGUCAUUCUCGGCCGUACCAAACGGAGGUGGUGGCGACGAGGAGGGGGUCCCGCCUUUCGCGAAGUUCUCAUUUCCUGAGCUUAAGGCCGCUACGAAUGGGUUCAGCACCAAGAACAUCAUGUCCGAGAGCGGUGACAAGGCUCCAAAUCUCGUUUACAAGGGCAGGCUGCAAAAUUGGUGUUCGAUUGCCGUGAAGAUCUCCAGGGCGGUUUGGUCAGAUCCCAAGCAAUUUGCUAUACCAGACUAUUGGUCAUGUUGAAUCUGAACUAGAUCAUCCUUGGUUUAGCCAAAGAAAUCUGAUGGAAGAGGAAAAGACCGGAAGAAAGCACAGAGAAGCACUUCAGGAAGAACAAGAAUAAUAGCCAAAUGAUCUCAUCAAAUAAGGUGCCCAAAGCGAAAGUGGAAAAAAAGAUAAGUGCUCUCCAACAUGUGUCACCAUUUGGGAAGAUAGAUCAAGCAUCACUACUGAUCGAGACUAUUAAUUGUAUCAGAAUCUUACAAAAGCAAGUACAAUUACUAAGUGACCCAUAACUGAAAUCUAGUCUGAGCAAGGAACGCAAUUGUUGGGGAGAAACUAAGAGGAAGGAGAAGGCAGAGGCAAGAUAUGAUCUGAGGAUCAAAGGCCUUUGCUUGGUUCCUAUUUCUUCCAUUCCUUUAAUCCACAGAGAGAGCAUUAGAUCUGCUUGUUGGAUACCGACUUUAUUCUACCUGAAAUCUGUAAGCUUAAGAUUGCUAGCUUUAUUCUACCUAAUGUUGUUUUCUUGUGAGGAAGUUCUGCCGAAGGCCUACCAUUUUCUCAUUAAUCAAAAUAUGUACACGAGUAGUUUGUAAAAAUUACAGAUGAAUUUGCCUAGGUAUCAUAGCUUUAUACUAGAUUAUUGUGCCAA